GGUUAAGCGACCAAGCGUACACGGUGGAUGCCCUGGCAGUCAGAGGCGAUGAAGGACGUGCUAAUCUGCGAAAAGCGCCGGUAAGGUGAUAUGAACCGUUAUAACCGGCGAUGUCCGAAUGGGGAAACCCAGUGUGACUCGUCACACUAUCAUUAACUGAAUCCAUAGGUUAAUGAGGCGAACCGGGGGAACUGAAACAUCUAAGUACCCCGAGGAAAAGAAAUCAACCGAGAUUCCCCCAGUAGCGGCGAGCGAACGGGGAGGAGCCCAGAGCCUGAAUCAGUAUGUGUGUUAGUGGAAGCGUCUGGAAAGGCGCGCGAUACAGGGUGACAGCCCCGUACACAAAAGCGCAUGUGCUGUGAGCUCGAUGAGUAGGGCGGGACACGUGGUAUCCUGUCUGAAUAUGGGGGGACCAUCCUCCAAGGCUAAAUACUCCUGACUGACCGAUAGUGAACCAGUACCGUGAGGGAAAGGCGAAAAGAACCCCGGCGAGGGGAGUGAAACAGAACCUGAAACCGUGUACGUACAAGCAGUGGGAGCAUGAGUUUACUCAUGUGACUGCGUACCUUUUGUAUAAUGGGUCAGCGACUUAUAUUCUGUAGCAAGGUUAACCGAAUAGGGGAGCCGGAGGGAAACCGAGUCUUAAC
rnacentral:rRNA from 1 species